GGGGGCUAUUAUUUGCUUGGAUAUCCAAGCUUUGUCAUAUCUGAGGUAAUAAGAAUUUGUCUGUGAUGCCUUAGGAGCCUACCUCACUGGCAGAUGGAAGAGGGCAUUUUUUGCAAGAUUGAUUCCUGUGUGGCUGAGAGCUUCUACAGUGAUCUCAGCCUUAAAGCCUAUCAACUGGGAAGUGACUGGAUUAUGUUAACUACAUGAAGGGCAUAUAGCCCAACAUUAAAGUUAAAAUAUUUAAUCCAAUAUUUAAGAAGUCUUAUCGAAGACUGAAUAGAAAAGAAUGGCUUCCAGGGAUGAUCAAAGCCACACCUAAGAUGUGGCCUGUUAGCUAAAAGGUAUGAAAGAAGUGUCCCUCCCUCAUCUUAGAUACUGUCCUGUACAGGAGGAGGUGAAAACAGAUGGACGUUGGCCACACACCAGCAAAAGAAGUUUGCUAAUUUCUGUCACAUGCAUAUGCAAAAGGAAACCUCAGUGCCUCUGAUGGACAAAGUUGUGCUCAUGACUAGAUAAAAUAGAAGUAAAGAGAUUUUUCUCAGUCUCAUCAACAAGGA
rnacentral:lncRNA from 1 species